UUGGGGGAAAAUUAGUAUAUGAAUUUAUAAUAAAAAUAAUUUUAAUGAAAUAUUAUAAUGGGGGUUAAAGUAUUUUAUAUAGAAAAAAUUAUUUAAUUUAUAGUAAAUUAGUAUUGUGAAAUAAAUUUGAAAUAAUUUGAAAUAAAAAUUAUUUAAAAAGUAAAUUUUAAUUAUUGUAUCUUGUGUAUCAGAGUUUAUUAAUAAAUUUUUUUUUUAUAYAAGAAAUUCUCGAAUUUAAAAGAGUUAAUUAAUUAAAAAAGUUAUUGUGGCAAAAAUAUUUUUUAUAAUUAAUUAGAAAUGAAAUGUUAAUCGUUUUUAAAAAUAUCUAGUUUUUUUAGAAAAAAAUUUAAUUUUAAAUUAAAUUAAUUAAAAAAUUAAUUAAAAAAUUUUUUAAAAAUUUAAAUUUUAUAUUUUAAGGGAUAAGCUUUAAUUUAAAUUUUUAUAAUUAUAUUAAAAUUAAUUUGAAAAUUUUAAAAUUUAUAUUGUUUAAAAAUUAUAAUUUUUUAUAAAUAAUUUCAUAUUAAAUAAAAUUUAAUUUAAAAUUUAAUUUUAUAUAGAAAAGUAAAAUUUAAUUUAAUAAUUUUAGUUAUAAUGAUAAAAUUAGUAUAUAAAUUUAUUUAAUUAAAAUUAUAUUUAAUUAUAUUGUAUGUAAAAUUAAUUAUAAGGAAUUCGGCAAAUGUAUAUAUUCACUUGUUUAUCAAAAACAUGUCUUUUUGAAAUAAUUUAAAGUCUAAUCUGCCCACUGAUGAAAAUUAAAGGGCUGCAGUAUUUUGACUGUACAAAGGUAGCAUAAUCAUUAGUCUCUUAAUUGGUGACUUGUAUGAAAGAUUGGAUGAGAUAUAAACUGUCUUAUUUUUAUUUAUARAAUUUAAUUUUUUAAUUAAAAAGUUAAAAUAUUUUUAAAAGACGAGAAGACCCUAUAGAGUUUUAUAUAUUUUUAAAUUAUAAAUUUUUAUAUUAAUAAUAAAUUUAAAUUUAAUAAUAUAUUUUGUUGGGGUGAUAGAAAAAUAAAAUUAACUUUUUUUAAAUUAAUAUAUAUAUAUAUAUAUAUAUAUAUAACAUUAAUAAAUGAGUAAAUGAUCCAUAAAUUAUGAUUAAAAGAUUAAAUUACCUUAGGGAUAACAGCGUAAUUUUUUUUUUUAGUUCAUAUAAGAAAAAAAGUUUGCGACCUCGAUGUUGGAUUAAGAUAAAAUUUAAAUGCAAAAGUUUAAAAUUUUGAUCUGUUCGAUCAUUAAAAUCUUACAUGAUCUGAGUUCAAACCGGUGUGAGCCAGGUUGGUUUCUAUCUUUAGACAUAUAAAAUAUUUUAGUACGAAAGGAUCAAAUAUUUAAAAUAAUUUUAUUAAUAAGAAUUUUAUUAAAAUAAUAUAAUUUAUAUUU
rnacentral:rRNA from 1 species